rnacentral:tRNA from 1 species
GCCGACUUAGCUCAGUGGGGAGAGCAACUGACUUGUAAUCAGUAGGUCGCCAGUUCGAGUCCGGCAGUCGGCACCA